rnacentral:rRNA from 1 species
AAUUACACUUUUAUUUUUAUUUUUAGUUCUAAUUUUUUAAUAGAAACAACUUAGUUUAGAGUAUAUUUUAUUGAAAUAAUAAUUUUAUUGAUAGUUAAAGAGUACUGUGAAGGGUUAAGUUAUUAUAUUUAGAAGUAGUUUUUAUUUAGCGUACCUUUUGUAUCAGGGUUGAUUAAUUUAUUGUACUUAUAGUACUUUUCCCGAAAUUAGGAGAGUUAUAAUUAAACGUAAGUCGAUGUGUCAAAAUUGUUUAUAAUUUAAUUAUGGUGAUGAAAUGUUAUUCGUUCUUAAAUAUCUGGUUUUCUUGGAAUUAAAUUUAAUUUAGGAUUUCUUUAUAUAAAAAAUAAUUAUAUUUUUAUUAUUUAGGAAAUCAAAUAUUCUUGGGGAUAAGCUCGAGAAUAAUUAUAUAAGUAGUUAUAUUGAUUUGGAAUUUAGUAGGCUUGAGAUCAGCCAUCAUUAAUCUCGUUAUAGAGUAUUUCUAUAAGUUAUUUAUUUAAUUUUCUUUAUUUGUUUACUUGAAUUAUUUAAUUAAUUUUAUAUUUAAUGUAAUAAUGAUUAAAUUAGUAUUUUUGUUAAUUAAGUUAUAGGAACUCGGCAAAUAUAGUGCCCGCCUGUUUAACAAAAACAUGUCCUUUUGUUUUUAUUUAAGGUCUGACCUGCCCAAUGAGGAAUUCAAUGGCCGCAGUAUUUUAACUGUGCUAAGGUAGCAUAAUCAUUUGUCUUUUAAUUGAGGGCUGGAAUGAAAGGUUGGACGAGGUAUUAGCUUUCUUUAAUUUAGUUUUAUGAAUUUAAUUUUUGAGUUAAAAAGCUUAAAUUUAUUUGUUGGACGAGAAGACCCUAUAGAUCUUUAUAAUUUUAUAUUCUAAUAAUUUAGGGAUUAUCUUAUUUAGAGUAAAAGAAUUAUUUUGUUGGGGUGACUGUAGAAUUUUUUAAACUUCUAUUUAUUGUUAUCAUUUAUUUAUGUUUAUUUGAUCCAUAAUUUAUGAUUAGAAGAUUAAGUUACCUUAGGGAUAACAGCGUAAUUUCUUCGGAGAGUUCAUAUUGAUGAAGAAGUUUGCGACCUCGAUGUUGGAUUAAAAUGAGUAGUGGAUGCAGGAGUUUACUUACUAGGUCUGUUCGACCUUUAAAUUUUUACAUGAUCUGAGUUCAGACCGGCGUGAGCCAGGUCAGUUUCUAUCCUCAAAAUAGCUAAUAAGCUUUAGUACGAAAGGACCAGGCUUAUGGAAUAAUUUUUAUUUAUUUUGAUUAAUAUU